ACAUAUAUAUGUGUGUGUAGGCAAGCUCUUGCAUGGUGUGUGUGGUUGAUCUAGCAUGUGUAGUUGUGUGUGUAAGUGUGUGCUCAUACCCUUGUGUAGUUGUGUGUGUUGUAGUUGUGCGUAUAUGUAUGUGCACAUGGGUGACUUGUGCACCUAUGUGAGAGGGUGUGUGUGUGUUUGUGGUGGCAUUUGCACAUGUGCAAGAGGUCACCCCUCUUGUUGCACCUCUUGUGUA
rnacentral:lncRNA from 1 species